rnacentral:rRNA from 1 species
UGCAGUCGAGGGGUAACAGGAAGUGCUUGCACUCUGCUGACGACCGGCGCACGGGUGCGUAACGCGUAUGCAAUCUACCUCUUACUGAGGGAUAGCCCAUGGAAACGUGGAUUAAUACCUCAUAGUAUUAUAGACUGGCCUCAGUUUAUGAUUAAAGGUUACGGUAAGAGAUGAGCAUGCGUCCUAUUAGCUAGAUGGUAAGGUAACGGCUUACCAUGGCAACGAUAGGUAGGGGUCCUGAGAGGGAGAUCCCCCACACUGGUACUGAGACACGGACCAGACUCCUACGGGAGGCAGCAGUGAGGAAUAUUGGACAAUGGGCGAGAGCCUGAUCCAGCCAUGCCGCGUGCAGGAAGACGGCCCUAUGGGUUGUAAACUGCUUUUACAGAGGAAGAACCCUCCUUACGAGUAAGGAGCUGACGGUACUCUAUGAAUAAGGAUCGGCUAACUCCGUGCCAGCAGCCGCGGUAAUACGGAGGAUCCAAGCGUUAUCCGGAAUCAUUGGGUUUAAAGGGUCCGUAGGCGGGUUUAUAAGUCAGUGGUGAAAGUCUGCAGCUUAACUGUAGAACUGCCAUUGAUACUGUAGACCUUGAAUUAGUAUGAAGUGGUUAGAAUGUGUAGUGUAGCGGUGAAAUGCAUAGAUAUUACACAGAAUACCGAUUGCGAAGGCAGAUCACUAAUACUAUAUUGACGCUGAUGGAC